rnacentral:rRNA from 1 species
GACGAACCACCCAAACGUUGUUCGGAAUUACUGGGCGUAAAGCGCGUGUAGGCGGCGGCGUGUGUCGGGCGUGAAAUCCCAUGGCUCAACCAUGGAAGUGCACCCGAAACUGCGCAGCUAGAGUCCUGGAGAGGAAGAUGGAAUACUUGGUGUAGAGGUGAAAUUCGUAGAUAUCAAGUGGAACACCGGUGGCGAAGGCGGUCUUCUGGACAGUGACUGACGCUGAGACGCGAAAGCGUGGGGAGCAAACAGG